CGUGUAAUCGUAAAGCAAUCAAAAUUGUUAACAAAGAGACCGUAUACUGAAUAUAUACCGUAUAACGAAAAAAACUACUUGGACUAUAGACCUAAUUGAGGAACCGAAUUUUCACGAUAAAUAAAGAAAAUAAAAAGAGAAAUUUCCCUGGGCUGCAACGUUGGUUUUAGUUUUUCGAUAUCAUUUAUACCAAAAUAGUUAUCGCAGAUAGAAAAAUAUAAUAUUAUCAGAUUUAUAGUACA